AAUCUUUUAUCUUCUGCUGCUGCUGCUGCUGCUGCUGUAAGCUUCGGAAUGUGAGGGUUUCUUCUGAUUGCAGCUUCCUUCCUCUUCUCCGUCGAUUGCAUCGUAAUGACCGCAUUUGCACGAGGUGCGCUUCUACCUGUAGUUAUUUAUCGGAAAGUGCUCAAUAAGCAGUGGUUAUGGGGACGUGUUUGGCCUGACUUUGCAUUGACGCAUCAGAUUGCACUGCAGUUCACAACUAUUGGAGCUGCUUUGCACCAGUGCAUUUUCGCAGCGGUGGGACGGACCAUGCAAAAGCCUCUCUCCGAAACUGGUCAGCAAAUGCAACAACGACACACACGGCACUCGAAAAGCUCUAUCAAACAAGCCCUAAGUAAGUUAUUCUAUGGAACCUCUUACCUCCUAGCAUGAACGGCGAACCGUUCCAGUAUUGGCAGUAUGCGGCGGUUGCUGCAACGCCGGCCAUAUCUCUCUCUCUCUCUCUCUCUCUCUCUCUCUCAAGCUAGCUCUUUGUCAAGUAUGGUUUGGCACAAACAGUACACUACUGAAUAUUAUACUGUACACCGUUGAUGAACCCCACACUUAAACACACCACAAGAUCUCUACAUUAGAUGCUCCUAACUUUUUUUUUUUAAGGAUGUACGAACACAAGAACGAAAAAAGAAGGGAAAAAAAAAAGAGACAAAGACUAAGUAGAAGAAAAGAAGAACUCAAAAAAGGUAGAGGAUCCUAUAUUCCUAUAUGAGGAGCUUCCUAAUUAUAUGUUUGUAAAUUCAUUUUGUUUUAGGAUAUAUACUUUGCUGGAUCUUUCUCUCAUUGCCGAGUGGUCUUUGCCCGCACGAAACCCUUAAGCAAAGUGUAACACGUUACUGUACCGUACACAAACACUCUUAUUGUUGACCAUUUCAUUUGGGUGCACCAACUUGUACCAGCAUUUGCGCCAAGAUAUAAGGCACUUCCAAACACAGAGAGAGAGAGAGAGAGAGAGAGAGAGAGAGAGUUGGGUGAGAGAGCGACUUACAUUACAUGUAGAAAAUAAUUGAUAUACAGAACCUAAAUCUCCCGAGUAAUCGUCCUUUUGGGCUUUAUUGGGAAAUUAUUGGACACUGAUUGUAACAUAACGGACUUUUUUUUUUUGCAAAUAAUUCUAAAAAAAAUUAUAAUAGGCUAAAUAAUCCUACUACAAAUAUAUUUAGCUAAAUAACUCUUCUUUUGCUGUGUAGAAGCCACAGUAAAAUUUUUUCUUAAAGACGGUGCAGCGUUUACCGCCUUCAUAAAUAAUUCCCCGUCUUUCUAAUUUUGUAUGAAAGCGGUAAAUCAUUCAUAACCUUUUUAAAUAUUGUUUGUUAGAAUUUUUAUGGUUGUAAUUAUUAUAUAUGAGAAAUAAAAAAGUUAGGAUUGUUUGGAUUAUGUGUUGAUUAUUAGAAGAUUGUAUGGGAUUGUAGGAUUGAACAAUUUAUCGUAUUUAAGAGAAUUUCACAAUGACUCUUAUAUGGCAAAAGGAAGAUUAAUUUGCAAAUCAUUUUUUUAUAGGAUUAUUUAUCUAAUUAGAAAAUUUUAUAGAGUUAUUCUUGAAAAAAGUUCUAUCAUAACAUUUAUGUUUUUAUUAGUAGCGUAUCAUAUUCAUUAAAGAGGGUUUGAAAUCAAUUAGCGAAUAAUAAUCAACUUUCAUGAGUCUAUUGUUGAUUUCUUUUUCCUUAACAUUUGGGAUCUCGAAAGUAGGAUGUGAAAGUUUGAGGACUUAAAUAAAACUUGAUGAUUAUGGGCGUGUUUGUUUUGCUGGAUAGUCGAGCUCCACUUGAUCUCGACUUAGCCCGGGUGACCUCAGGCAAUACAAAAUCUCACAGUCCGUAUGCUUUCAAUGGCUCUCCGUGCACGAUCACCGACUUCAACGGCCGACCCAAAUGCCCGCGCUCGCGGAUCAACAAGGUGAACAAACUUUCGCACUAGAGAUCCAGAAAAACAAAUUAGCUCGGAAAGUUCAGAGACUAGCAGUGCAAUUUACUGGUAAAUUGUUGACCAUUUAUAUCAGUGUUGAUAUAUUUGGGAUAUAUCCCUGCCUUGGGCUUGGGUUGGACCAUUUUUUUCACCUUAAUGGACCACGCCCCAAUCAUCCUGUUAACAGGCCUAGGCCCACCACUCGCCAUAGGCUCACUAAAUGGGCCGAGCUCGGAUAAAAAUGUGCUCCCCACUCUUUUGAGAAAGUAUUGAGACCCGUUAACAACUUUUUUAAUUAUGUGUGGCGAACCCUACUGUCAGCCGUCUGAUGGGUCGUCUGAACUGAAAGGAAUAAUAUCAUCUUCCAAGGAAAUUUCCUCAUCUCUUUCCACGCACGGGAGGGGAUAAAUUCCCGUCUGAACUGGAAGGAAUAAUAUCGUCUUCCAAGAAAACUACCCCAUCUCUUUCCGCGCACUGGAGAGGAUAAAUUUCCGUAUGAACUGAAAGAAAUAAUAUCGAUUUCCAAGGAAAUCACCCCAUCUCUUUCCACGCACUGGAGAGGGUAAAUUUUCGUAUGAACUGAAAGGAAUAAUAUCGUCUUUCAAGGAAACUACCCCAUCUCUUUCCACGCACUGGAGCGGGUAAAUUUUCUUCUUAACUCGUGGAAAGAGGUCAGUAAUUGCUAAUUGAGGACGGCCGACACGCAGCUUCUUUUGUCUCGGAACAGCUGAUCAUUCCUCUCAUGCUUUUUCUAUUUUUCUACCGUCUAUUUUCUAGUUUCUUUCUCUCUUUUCUUCUGUUUUUUUGGCAUAUUUUUUUCUUCUUUGUCUUACGAGGCUUUGGCUGCUUUCAUUUUGUAUGCUUAGUUCAUUUUACUUAAUGAAUGAAGUGAGUAGCUUUAUUAUUUUUCUCUCAAAAAAAAAAUUUAUGUGUGGUGAAGUAUGCUAAUAAUUAAAUGAGCAAUUUCCGAGCUACAUCAACUUACUAACAUCUAAAACAAGCACAACACUGUUAAAUUCGGCCCUCGCUCCUCUCAUUAAUGACUGUAAAAAUUUAUUACGGUUGCAUUCAAAUAUUAUUAUCUUCUAUGUUAAAAGAGAUGAAAAUACAUAAGCUCAUAAUAUUGCCAAUACAACUUUACGAUCAUGUUCAACUACUGUCUAACUCUUUUGUCAUCUUUGAUGUAUGUCUAAUUUGCUAAUAAAACAGCCCACG
rnacentral:lncRNA from 1 species